UACAAACACUCAGCAGAAAAAUCGGAAGCAGGGAAAGAAAAGUAACAGGCAAUAACAUGGAAUUCUCGCUCAGGUGUGAGUAAGGUUUCUCAAGGACACACAAGACCGGUCUUAGCAGAGCUCAGCGAGUGAGAGAGGUGAUUGUUAUUGGCAGCUGCAGGAACCCAGGGGACUCAUUUGACCGCUUGCGUAGCUCAGGUUCUGAUUCUGUGCGUUACAAGAAAGGAACGCAUCAAGAUUCUUCUCGAUUCUGGCCCAGGGGUGAUGGAGGGAAGUUCCUCAUGAUGCCCGAACAGAGGAAUCACUGAUUGUCAUCAAACCACUAAAGACCUAACUCUUCCUGUAUUGGACAGUUUUGAGUGCACUGACUGGAACAGGGUCAGGGAGGCUGUAACCAACGGUGACUCUAUCAACUUGGAGGAGUGACAUCGGCAAGUGCAUCGUUGACGUGGCCGUCUUCAAGACCAUCACCACACGCUCCAACCAGAAGCUGUGGAUGACUGCAAAAGUGCGUGCUCUCCUGAAGUCGAGAGACUCCGCCUUCAGAAGCGUUGUUGCUGUUUCUGUUUGCAAUUAUAUAUUGUAUGUUGUUUAUGUAGCACCAGGGUCCUGGAGAAACGUUGUCUCAUUUCACCAGUAAUGGGCCAUCAUGGCAAGCAAGGCCUUCUCUGCUGGCCUAAACAGCACUGAUCUGAAUCACUGACUUGCAUUUUAAUAUAUUAUAUAUAUUUUUCCAUGAAUGUGUAUUAAAUUAUUCCCAAUAGUCUAUUCUCUACAUUUCAUAGCUUUUCUCUUCGUUGCGCUGCUUCCAGUAGUGUAUAUUUAUGAUAAGAGUAUUUAUCCAAUCAUAUUUCAGCCAGUGGAUGACAUCAUGUGUUGCCAGAGUGAAAGAAAUCUGCCUUAAGGCCUUCAGAAUCAAUAGAGCAGGCACCCAGAGAUUAAAAUAAGUGGCAAUAAAACUAUUCCAUUAACCAAUCAGAUUUCGAGUUGUGUCACUGGGGCCAUCUAGCGUACGAUUACAUCAGCAAUUUCACAUCCUUUGAUUGGAUAAUUGGACUAGUCAGAGGCAGCGAAUCGCACAAACUAAAUAAAAUGCAUAUUUUUGAACUCACAAUGGCUGACAGAGGAGAAGAAUUCGAUUUGGUCGCAGACAUCCUUACAAAUCCAUUUUCAGGGUGGACUGUAAUAAAAUUCCUUGUGAGGUGUGAAAUACUGUAGCCUAAUUUCUUUUUUACUUUGCUAUUUAACGGUUGAUUAGUAUCUAUUGCCGUGUAGUCAAAAUGAUGGUAUAAAGGUGGAUUAAUGCAGGAAGGACACCAGU